GGGUUUAUCACUUCAAGCCCUUCAUAACCCAAUAAUCCGCUGACCGAGUUCUGCAUCGCGCUACCCCAGCUCCUGACGCUCGACGUGAUCGCCGAGAAGAAUCCGCCGCCCGACGCUCCCGCCGCCGCCGGCUUCUCGUCCCGCGACCCCAUCUCCGAACCCUAGCUCCGAUUCAAGCGAAUCAACAACACGCGAUCUCGCGAUCCGAGACCUUGAUCGAGC
rnacentral:misc_RNA from 1 species